UACCAGCACCCCGAGUGGUCGGGACGAUUAUUGGGCCUAAAGCAUCCGUAGCCGGUUCUACAAGUCUUCCGUUAAAUCCACCUGCUUAACAGUUGGGCUGCAGAGGAUACUAUAGAGCUAGGAGGCGGGAGAGGCAAGCGGUACUUAGUGGGUAGGGGUAAAAUCCGUUGAUCCACUGAAGACCACCAGUGGCGAAGGCGGCUUGCCAGAACGCGCUCGACGGUGAGGGAUGAAAGCUGGGGGAGCAAACCGGAUGAGAAACCCGAGUAGUCC
rnacentral:rRNA from 1 species